rnacentral:rRNA from 1 species
CAGUCGCCGCGGUAAAACGAGGGGGGCAAGCGUUGUUCGGAAUUAUUGGGCGUAAAGGGUGCGUAGGCGGUUUGGCAAGUUUGGUGUGAAAUCUUCGGGCUCAACCCGAAGUCUGCAUCGAAAACUGCCGGGCUUGAGUAUGGGAGAGGUGAGUGGAAUUUCCGGUGUAGCGGUGAAAUGCGUAGAUAUCGGAAGGAACACCUGUGGCGAAAGCGGCUCACUGGACCAUAACUGACGCUGAUGCACGAAAGCUAGGGGAGCAAACAGGAUUAGAUACCCGUGUAGUCCCUGUCUCUUAUAC